rnacentral:rRNA from 1 species
AAUUUGCUCAGUACGAGAAGAACCGCAGAUUCAGACAAUUGGCUCAUGCACUUGCCUGAAAAGACAAUGGUGCGAAGCUACCAUCUGUUGGAUUAUGAUUGAACGCCUCUAAAUCAGAAUCCGU